rnacentral:rRNA from 1 species
AGAAUCAACGCUGGCGGCGUGCCUAACACAUGCAAGUCGAACGAGGAAGUGGAGCAAUCCAUGAGUAAAGUGGCGCACGGGUGAGUAACACGUGACUAACCUACCCUUGAGUGGGGGAUAACCUAGAGAAAUCUGGGCUAAUACCGCAUAAUACCUUCGGGUCAAAGGAGCAAUUCGCUUAAGGAGGGGGUCGCGGCCGAUUAGUUAGUUGGCGGGGUAAUGGCCCACCAAGACUGUGAUCGGUA